rnacentral:rRNA from 1 species
UACGUAGGGUGCAAGCGUUACUCGGAAUUACUGGGCGUAAAGCGUGCGCAGGCGGUUAUGCAAGACAGAGGUGAAAUCCCCGGGCUCAACCUGGGAACUGCCUUUGUGACUGCAUAGCUAGAGUACGGUAGAGGGGGAUGGAAUUCCGCGUGUAGCAGUGAAAUGCGUAGAUAUGCGGAGGAACACCGAUGGCGAAGGCAAUCCCCUGGACCUGUACUGACGCUCAUGCACGAAAGCGUGGGGAGCAAACAGG